UUGCUUCAGUACCACAUAUCCUAAAAUUGGACCGAUACAGAGAAGAGUAGCAUGACCACUGUGCAAGGAUGACAUGCAAGUUUGUGAAGCAUUCCAUAUUAAA